ACGCUGGCGGCAGGCCUAACACAUGCAAGUCGAGCGGUAGAGAGAAGCUUGCUUCUCUUGAGAGCGGCGGACGGGUGAGUAAUGCCUAGGAAUCUGCCUGGUAGUGGGGGAUAACGUUCGGAAACGGACGCUAAUACCGCAUACGUCCUACGGGAGAAAGCAGGGGACCUUCGGGCCUUGCGCUAUCAGAUGAGCCUAGGUCGGAUUAGCUAGUUGGUGGGGUAAUGGCUCACCAAGGCGACGAUCCGUAACUGGUCUGAGAGGAUGAUCAGUCACACUGGAACUGAGACACGGUCCAGACUCCUACGGGAGGCAGCAGUGGGGAAUAUUGGACAAUGGGCGAAAGCCUGAUCCAGCCAUGCCGCGUGUGUGAAGAAGGUCUUCGGAUUGUAAAGCACUUUAAGUUGGGAGGAAGGGUUGUAGAUUAAUACUCUGCAAUUUUGACGUUACCGACAGAAUAAGCACCGGCUAACCCUGUGCCAGCAGCCGCGGUAAUACAGAGGGUGCAAGCGUUAAUCGGAAUUACUGGGCGUAAAGCGCGCGUAGGUGGUUAGUUAAGUUGGAUGUGAAAUCCCCGGGCUCAACCUGGGAACUGCAUUCAAAACUGACUGACUAGAGUAUGGUAGAGGGUGGUGGAAUUUCCUGUGUAGCGGUGAAAUGCGUAGAUAUAGGAAGGAACACCAGUGGCGAAGGCGACCACCUGGACUGAUACUGACACUGAGGUGCGAAAGCGUGGGGAGCAAAC
rnacentral:rRNA from 1 species